UAUUACAUAACCAUAUAAAUCAUACAUAAUAAGGUACAAAUUCACCACAUAUUCAACAUAUCACAAGGCACAUAUACAAUAUUCAUAUUUAGGCUUUCAUUCUAUCUUCCAACAUUCAAACAAAACAAGCCAAACAUCAACCAUAUUAAGAUCAAUAGUUACAUGCCAAAAAUAAGUUCAUUUCAUCAUCAAAAUGCCGUAACACAAGUCAAACCAAAUAGCCAUUUCAAUAACCAAA
rnacentral:lncRNA from 1 species